AAAUCACUCAGAGAGACAGGGAGGGGCAGGGGAUGUAUUUAAAUCCCAGGAAGGUGAGGCAUGGUGGCAGAUGGGGGGAGAGAGGCUGCUGGGUGUGCUUGCUGGGCGCAUUUGGGGCUCAUCACUGGGGUUGGAGGCUCCUCUGGGGGUGUGCAGCAGGGGAGAGCACAUGGACAAGCUCUGUGCUGCAGGGACAAUUCACCUGAACUGCACCUGAAGAGAAUCCUCAGCAGGCUGGGGCAUGGGAAGAGCUCCCUCCUGCCAGCUGUGACACGGCCAUGGGGCUGGAAGAGCAGAAGGGAGAAGCGCUGAGGUCUGGGCGGCGCUGGAGAUGGGAGGCUGGGCGCGAUGCACAGGUCCUCUGCUGCUUCUGGCACCUCUUCUGGACAGCCUGGCUCGUGCCCUUCCUUCCAGCUUCCUCCAGAGGAGAUGUGAAGCUGCAAAAACGAUGCUUCGGAGGGCCGUGUUUGCACGGGGACAGCUCCCCAUGCAGAGGGCAGAGCCGUAGCUCCAUGGGCUUGGUGCCACGCUGGGGGCUGACCCUGGCUGCAGAACGCACCUUGGCCUUCCUGGCUAAGCCCCGGCACAGUGAUGCCCAGCAGCCUGGAGGUAUUAAGUGUGAUUUUUUUUUUCUUUUCAAAGCUUUUCUUAGCUUUAUUGAGAACUUUGGGGAACUAAGCAGUGCGUGGAGAAGUUAGCUGCUUAAAACUAAAGGCUGCUUCCCCAGCCCGAGGUGGCUCUGCUGACACCAGGACCCGUGGGUGCCCCACGGGCACGAGAGAGCCCAGCCCAGAGGAAUCCGGUGCGGGUCGAGGACAGCUUUAAGAGUUUCUUUAUGUUUUCUUUAAGUUUAGGUAAAUCCAAUUCCUUAUUUAAAUUAUGGCUAUCCCAAUUCUAUAUCUGUUAAAAUAUGAAAGGGGAAACUUUUUUAAAACAUGUGGCGUUUAUGAUUACCAAAGGCAAAACUAAAAUUCUUCUUUCUGCUCUAGUCAUUAUCUUCGCAUGCCUGAGCCCCUAACGUUAAUCCGUGUAUCUGCAAGCUAUUGCUUCAAGUCUUCUGAAAUUAGACAAGACCAAAUUUACCAUUUCCUUAUUGACAGCACUUGAGGUAUGCUGAACCACCACAUGUUCCUCUGUGGUAACGAACAAUGAGUGCACAGGAAAUAGUUAAAAAAACAAAUACAACCCCUGGUGAAUGUUAAUUUUUCAUUUUUUUUCUGAAAACUAAGUGGGACGUGCAUUAAACUGAUGCAAAAGCUUGAAAACUUUUAAAUGCAUUCACACUUUAAAUAGCCAUAAAGAUGAAUUACUCCUGGGAAUACAUCAUCCAUAAGUUAGCCUGACCCUGGACGUAUCAUGGCUAAUAACAAUUGUUUUGAAGUAUAUAUGUUCCAUUUCUAACAGAAGGCUUAAUUCAUCUUUUUCCAUGAGCAGAGCAGGGAACUGACACUCUGUAAAUUCUGCCUUUCCAUUGUUUAACCGAGAAGUCUCAGUACAGAUGUUAUGAAAGAAAGCUCUGAGAGAAAAUUCAGUCACUUCCCC
rnacentral:lncRNA from 1 species